GGUGUGGAAGCGCAGCAAUGCGUGGAGCUAACCUGUACUAAUUGGCCGUGAGGCUUGACCGCUAU
rnacentral:rRNA from 1 species